GAAGAGGAUGGGGACGACGGUCCCAGUAGCCCUAGAGGCAAGAGGAAGAGAUCCUCUUUUCGAAUCAACGCCACUGUUGAUUUUCCCUCCCAUAACCAACAACGCGAACAACAGGGUUUCAGUUCCGACAAGGAAGAAAGUGAGAACGAUGAAGAGGAGACCAAGCGCCAUCGAAAUCACAAAAUUGAGGAACAUGUUGGAGGGGACGACGGUAGUAAAAGAUCACUCUGCUCGGUUAAGUCGUGUACUAAAAAUGUGAAGCCAAAUGCCUCCGUUACGAUGUUCUUCAUUGACCCAGAAGUGUUGGAUUGCUCAAUUUGCUGCGAACCUUUGAGUAUCCCCAUCUUCCAGUGUGAGAAUGGACAUAUUGCAUGCUCUUCCUGCUGCAACAAACUUAAGAAUAAAU
rnacentral:misc_RNA from 1 species